rnacentral:rRNA from 1 species
CUGCCUAGUAGUGGGGGAUAGCUCGGGGAAACUCGAAUUAAUACCGCAUACGACCUACGGGUGAAAGGGGGCGCAAGCUCUUGCUAUUAGAUGAGCCUAAAUCAGAUUAGCUAGUUGGUGGGGUAAAGGCCCACCAAGGCGACGAUCUGUAACUGGUCUGAGAGGAUGAUCAGUCACACCGGAACUGAGACACGGUCCGGACUCCUACGGGAGGCAGCAGUGGGGAAUAUUGGACAAUGGGGGCAACCCUGAUCCAGCCAUGCCGCGUGUGUGAAGAAGGCCUUUUGGUUGUAAAGCACUUUAAGCAGGGAGGAGAGGCUAAUGGUUAAUACCCAUUAGAUUAGACGUUACCUGCAGAAUAAGCACCGGCUAACUCUGUGCCAGCAGCCGCGGUAAUACAGAG